rnacentral:pre_miRNA from 1 species
AGCUUUCUGAAUCUGUAUCGAGAUUUUGUCAGACACCAAAUUGACAGAGCUGAUGAAACUCUCAAGACAUGUGAAGUG